GUCAUAUGCUUGUCUCAAAGAUUAAGCCAUGCAUGUCUAAGUAUAAGCGAGUAUACUGUGAAACUGCGAAUGGCUCAUUAAAUCAGUUAUGGUUUAUUUGAUGGUACCUUGCUACUUGGAUAACCGUAGUAAUUCUAGAGCUAAUACAUGCAGGAGUUCCCGACUUCGGAAGGGAUGUAUUUAUUAGAUAAGAAACCAAACCGGUCUCCGGUUGCGUGCUGAGUCAUAAUAACUGCUCGAAUCGCACGGCUCUACGCUGGCGAUGGUUCAUUCAAAUUUCUGCCCUAUCAGCUUUCGAUGGUAGGAUAGAGGCCUACCAUGGCGUUAACGGGUAACGGAGAAUUAGGGUUCGAUUCCGGAGAGGGAGCCUGAGAAAUGGCUACCACAUCCAAGGAAGGCAGCAGGCGCGUAAAUUGCCCGAAUCCUGACACAGGGAGGUAGUGACAAGAAAUAACAAUACAGGGCUAUCUUAGUCUUGUAAUUGGAAUGAGUACAAUUUACAUCUCUUCACGAGGAUCAAUUGGAGGGCAAGUCUGGUGCCAGCAGCCGCGGUAAUUCCAGCUCCAAUAGCGUAUAUUAAAGUUGUUGCAGUUAAAACGCUCGUAGUCGGAUUUCGGGGCGGGCCCGCCGGUCUGCCGAUGGGUAUGCACUGGCGGGCGCGUCCUUCCUCCCGGAGACGGCUGCUACUCUUAACUGAGCGGUGGUCGGAGACGGGAUAUUUACUUUGAAAAAAUCAGAGUGUUUCAAGCAGGCAGUCGCUCUUGCAUGGAUUAGCAUGGGAUAAUGAAAUAGGACUCUGGUGCUAUUUUGUUGGUUUCGAGCACCGGAGUAAUGAUUAACAGGGACAGUCAGGGGCACUCGUAUUCCGCCGAGAGAGGUGAAAUUCUCAGACCAGCGGAAGACGAACCACUGCGAAAGCAUUUGCCAGGGAUGUUUUCACUGAUCAAGAACGAAAGUUAGGGGAUCGAAGACGAUCAGAUACCGUCGUAGUCUUAACCAUAAACCAUGCCGACUAGGGAUUGGAGGAUGUUCCAUUUGUGACUCCUUCAGCACCUUUCGGGAAACUAAAGUCUUUGGGUUCCGGGGGGAGUAUGGUCGCAAGGCUGAAACUUAAAGGAAUUGACGGAAGGGCACCACCAGGAGUGGAGCCUGCGGCUUAAUUUGACUCAACACGGGGAAACUUACCAGGUCCAGACAUUGUGAGGAUUGACAGAUUGAGAGCUCUUUCUUGAUUCGAUGGGUGGUGGUGCAUGGCCGUUCUUAGUUGGUGGAGUGAUUUGUCUGGUUAAUUCCGUUAACGAACGAGACCGCAGCCUGCUAAAUAGCGCGCCGAACCCUUUGUUGGGUGUCGCUUCUUAGAGGGACAACUUGUCUUCAACAAGUGGAAGUUCGCGGCAAUAACAGGUCUGUGAUGCCCUUAGAUGUUCUGGGCCGCACGCGCGCUACACUGAUGCAUUCAGCGAGUCUAUCACCUUGACCGAGAGGUCCGGGUAAUCUUUUGAAAUUGCAUCGUGAUGGGGAUAGAUUAUUGCAACUAUUAAUCUUCAACGAGGAAUUCCUAGUAAGCGUGUGUCAUCAGCGCACGUUGAUUACGUCCCUGCCCUUUGUACACACCGCCCGUCGCUCCUACCGAUUGAAUGAUCCGGUGAGGCCCCCGGACUGCGGUCCCGUCGCUGGUUCUCCAGCUUUGGGGUUGCGGGAAGCUGUCCGAACCUUAUCAUUUAGAGGAAGGAGAAGUCGUAACAAGGUUUCCGUAGGUGAACCUGCGGAAGGAUCAUUACCGGUCUUUCCACCCCACACUUGCUGCACUGUAUACAACCCGUGGGCCCCUUUCAGGGGGGGAUUGCGGGGUCGACUUGUCGGCUCCGCUUUCCUUCUCCUGGAUGCCCGGGCUCCGGCCCGGGCCCCGCACCACGCAUUCUCUGAGGCUCUCCAUGGAGCCUCCCCCCCUCUGUGGCGGUUCUCUCACAAGGACCGUCCCUCCAAUUCAAAAUCACACAACUCCUGCCGAUGGAUAUCUUGGCUCUCGCAACGAUGAAGAACGCAGCGAAAUGCGAUACGUAGUGCGAAUUGCAGAAUUCAGUGAAUCAUCGAACCUUUGAACGCAAAUGGCGCUCCCGGGUUCCGCCCGGGAGCAUGUCUCUUCGAGUGGCGUCUCCACCCUCCUCGGAGCGAGCCCCGCGCUCUAGCUCCGGAGCUGCCCGCUGCGCUUCGCGAGGAGCGCACCGGGCCAAGGCCUGCGACUUGCUGGUGAGGACUUUUGCGCCUCUGCCAGAGUGCUACUGUCCCCGGACACGUUCCUCUGGCUGGCGUGCCCCACCCUUUCGCCCCGCAUGCACCGGCUGAGGCCUGUGUGUGCACCCACUAUAACCUUUUGACCCGCCAUCGAAUGAGGCAAGACUACCCGCUGAACUUAAGCAUAUCACUAAGCGGAGGAGAAGAAACUAACCAGGAUGCCCUCAGUAAUGGCGAAUGAAGCGGGCUGAGCUCACGCUGCCAAUCCGGAGGCCUCGCGCCCCCUGAAUUGUGGUCUAGAGAGGCGCCAUCGGUCGUACCCGCCGCUCAAGUCCCUUGGAACAGGGUAUCGGAGAGGGUGAGAAUCCCGUACCGUGGCGGAGUGCGUCCUUACGAUGCGUCCUUGUCGAGUCGGGUUGCUUGGGAUUGCAGCUUGAAGUGGGUGGUAAAUUCCAUCUAAAGCUAAAUACUGGCGAGAGACCGAUAGCGAACAAGUACCGUGAGGGAAAGAUGCAAAGAACUUUGAAAAGAGAGUCAAAGAGUGCUUGAAAUCGGUAGGAGGAAACCCGGAUGGGCCCGGCUUCGGCGUCGCGACUCAGCCCCCUGCUCGGGGGGGUGCACUUUGCGACGCCGGGUCAGCCGCCGCUCCGGCCGCGGUACAACUGGGGAGCAGGGCUCCGGCGAGCUCCCCUCCUGCCGCGCCCGGGGCGCCGUCUGACGGAACGGGCCCCUCCGACCCGUCUAGAAACACGGACCAAGGAGUCUGACACGUGUGCGAGUACCCGGGUGGCAAGCCCGCGUGCGGAAUGAAAGUGAAGGGCAUGCCCUGCCAACCGACCUUGACCUUCUGUGAAGGGUUUGAGUGGAGCACACCUGUCGGGACCCGAAAGAUGGUGAACUAUGCCUGGGUAGGGUGAAGCCAGAGGAAACUCUGGUGGAGGCUCGUAGCGAUACUGACGUGCAAAUCGUUCGUCGAAUCUGGGUAUAGGGGCGAAAGACUAAUCGAACCAUCUAGUAGCUGGUUCCCUCCGA
rnacentral:rRNA from 1 species